GCCAAUUUCAUGAUGAUUCAAAAUUUUCAAUGCAUAGUUCACCUGAGGGCCCAAAGCCUAAUGAACGAAGCAAAAUUAUCCAUCUUUCGCUCCUAUCUGAUUUCAA
rnacentral:snoRNA from 1 species